rnacentral:rRNA from 1 species
CAGUAGCCGCGGUAAUACGAAGGGUGCAAGCGUUAAUCGGAAUUACUGGGCGUAAAGCGUGCGCAGGCGGUUGUGUAAGACAGGUGUGAAAUCCCCGGGCUUAACCUGGGAACUGCGCUUGUGACUGCACAGCUAGAGUAUGGCAGAGGGGGGUGGAAUUCCACGUGUAGCAGUGAAAUGCGUAGAGAUGUGGAGGAACACCGACGGCGAAGGCAGCCCCCUGGGCCAAUACUGACGCUCAUGCACGAAAGCGUGGGGAGCAAACAGGAUUAGAUACCCCUGUAGUCCCUGUCUCUUAUAC